UGAUAUUGAAAGGCAGAUAUGCGUAAUUUUUCCGUCCGAACAAAUUGAAUUUUACUCGAAUCGUAAACGAGGCAAAAUCUAUAACAAGCUAGCAAAUUUGAAAAGGCUUUCCAAAGACAUAUUCAAAGAAAAAUCAUCACCAGAAGACGAUGAAGUGAUAGAAGAAAAUAUGGCCGUCGCAUUGCAAUAUUUAAGGUUGCCUUCAAUUACAGCAGACGAGUUUGACCUAUACUGGCGAAAAUGUGCUAAUUAUCGUUUUCAGCAAAUUACGGAAUCAAAAAAUACUGCCGACAUUUUUCCACUCUGGCCUGAAUACAAAAAGCCGUCUGGUUCA